rnacentral:rRNA from 1 species
UACGUAGGGUGCGAGCGUUAAUCGGAAUUACUGGGCGUAAAGUGUGCGCAGGCGGCUUCGCAAGUCGAGUGUGAAAUCCCCGAGCUUAACUUGGGAAUUGCGCUCGAAACUACGGAGCUGGAGUGUGGCAGAGGAAGGUGGAAUUCCGGGUGUAGUGGUGAAAUGCGUAGAGAUCCGGAGGAACCCCAGAGGCGAAGGCGGCAGCCUGGUUGGCUCCUGACGCUCGGACACGACAGCAUGGGGAGCGAACGGG